AUUGAACGCUGGCGGCAGGCCUAACACAUGCAAGUCGAACGAGUGGCGGACGGGUGAGUAAUGCUUGGGAAUCUGCCUGAUGGAGGGGGAUAACUACGGGAAACUGUAGCUAAUACCGCGUACUAUAGGGUGAGCCCAUGUGGGAUUAGGUAGUUGGGGAGGUAACGGCGCACCAAGGCGGAGAACUCUAGCUGGUCUGAGAGGAGGACCAGCCACACUGGGACUGAGACACGGCCCAGACUCCUACGUGAGGCAGCAGUGGGGAAUAUUGCACAAUGGGGGCAACCUGACGCAGCCAUGCCGCGUGAAUGAAGAAGGCCUUCGGGUUGUAAAGUUCUUUCGGUAGCGAGGCGUUAACUACAGAAGAAGCACCGGCUAACUCCGUGCCAGCAGCCGCGGUAAUUC
rnacentral:rRNA from 1 species